rnacentral:rRNA from 1 species
AGUGAACGCUGGCGGUAGGCCUAACACAUGCAAGUCGAACGGCAGCACAGUAAGAGCUUGCUCUUACGGGUGGCGAGUGGCGGACGGGUGAGGAAUACAUCGGAAUCUACUUUUUCGGGGGGGAUAACGUAGGGAAACUUACGCUAAUACAGCAUACGACCUACGGGGGAAAGCAGGGGAUCUUCGGACCUUGCGCGAUUGAAUGAGCCGAUGUCGGAUUAGCUAGUUGGCGGGGUAAAGGCCGACCAAGGCGGCUAUCCGUAGCGGGUCUGAGAGGCUGUUCGCCCGCACUGGAGCUGAGACACGGUCCAGAGUCCUACGGGAGGCAGCAGAGUGCAAUAUUAGACAAUGGGCGCAAGCCUUAUCCAGCGCGACCGCGUGGGUGAAGAAGGCCUUCGGUUUGUAAAGCCCUUUUUUUGGGAAAGAAAAGCAGCCGGUUAAUACGCCGCUGUUCUGACGGUACCCAAAGAAUAAGCACCGGCUAACUUCGUG